AUUGAACGCUGGCGGCAGGCCUAACACAUGCAAGUCGAGCGGGGUUUUCGGACCUAGCGGCGGACGGGUGAGUAAUGCGUAGGAAGCUGCCCGAUAGAGGGGGAUACCAGUUGGAAACGACUGUUAAUACCGCAUAAUGUCUACGGACCAAAGUGUGGGACCUUCGGGCCACAUGCUAUCGGAUGCGCCUACGUGGGAUUAGCUAGUUGGUGAGGUAAUGGCUCACCAAGGCGACGAUCUCUAGCUGGUUUGAGAGGAUGAUCAGCCACACUGGAAACGGGACACGGACCAGACUCCUACGGGAGGCAGCAGUGUGGAAUAUUGGACAAUGGGCGCAAGCCUGAUCCAGCCAUGCCGCGUGUGUGAAGAAGGCCUUCGGGUUGUAAAGCACUUUCAGCGAGGAGGAAGGGUGGUGUGUUAAUAGCACAUCAUUUUGACGUUACUCGCAGAAGAAGCACCGGCUAACUCUGUGCCAGCAGCCGCCGUAACAC
rnacentral:rRNA from 1 species